AACGAACGCUGGCGGCAGGCUUAACACAUGCAAGUCGAACGCAUCCUUCGGGGUGAGUGGCAGACGGGUGAGUAACGCGUGGGAACGUGCCCUUCAGUUCGGGAUAACCCAGGGAAACUUGGGCUAAUACCGGAUACGUGCGAGAGCAGAAAGAUUUAUCGCUGAAGGAUCGGCCCGCGUCUGAUUAGCUAGUUGGUGGGGUAAAGGCCCACCAAGGCGACGAUCAGUAGCUGGUCUGAGAGGAUGAUCAGCCACAUUGGGACUGAGAACCGGGCCGAACUCCUACGGGAGGCGGCAGUGGGGAAUAUUGGACAAUGGGCGCAAGCCUGAUCCAGCCAUGCCGGGUGAGUGAUGAAGGCCUUAGGGUUGUAAAACUCUUUCGUCCGGGACGAUAAUGACGGUACCGGAAGAAGAAGCCCCGGCUAACUUCGUGCCAGCCGCCGCGGUAA
rnacentral:rRNA from 1 species